CUGGNUCAGAUUGAACGCUGGCGGCAGCCUAACACAUGCAAGUCGAGCGGCAGCACGGGUAAUUGUACCUGGUGGCGAGCGGCGGACGGUGAGUAAUGCNUAGGAAUCUCCNUGGNUAGGGGNNGGAAGUUCGGAAACGGACGNUAAUACCGCAUAGUCNUACGGGAGAAAGCAGGGACNUUCGGGCNUUGCGCUAUCAGAUGAGCUUAGGUCGGAUUAGCUAGUUGGUGAGGUAAUGGCUCACCAAGGCGACGAUCCGUAACUGGUCUGAGAGGAUGAUCAGUCACACUGGAACUGAGACACGGUCCAGACUCCUACGGGAGGCAGCAGUGGGGAAUAUUGGACAAUGGGCGAAAGCCUGAUCCAGCCAUGCCGCGUGUGUGAAGAAGGUCUUCGGAUUGUAAAGCACUUUAAGUUGGGAGGAAGGGCAGUUACCUAAUACGUAUCUGUUUUGACGUUACCGACAGAAUAAGCACCGGCUAACUCUGUGCCAGCAGCCGCGGUAAUACAGAGGGUGCAAGCGUUAAUCGGAAUUACUGGGCGUAAAGCGCGCGUAGGUGGUUCGUUAAGUUGGAUGUGAAAUCCCCGGGCUCAACCUGGGAACUGCAUUCAAAACUGUCGAGCUAGAGUAUGGUAGAGGGUGGUGGAAUUUCCUGUGUAGCGGUGAAAUGCGUAGAUAUAGGAAGGAACACCAGUGGCGAAGGCGACCACCUGGACUAAUACNGAC
rnacentral:rRNA from 1 species